GACGAACGCUGGCGGCGUGCUUAACACAUGCAAGUCGAACGUGAUUUUUGUGGAAAUUCUUUCGGGAAUGGAAAUGAAAUGAAAGUGGCGAACGGGUGAGUAACACGUGAGCAACCUACCUUACACAGGGGGAUAGCCGUUGGAAACGACGAUUAAUACCGCAUGAGACCACAGAAUCGCAUGAUAUAGGGGUCAAAGAUUUAUCGGUGUAAGAAGGGCUCGCGUCUGAUUAGCUAGUUGGAAGGGUAAAGGCCUACCAAGGCGACGAUCAGUAGCCGGUCUGAGAGGAUGAACGGCCACAUUGGAACUGAGACACGGUGCAAACUACUACGGGAGGCAGCAGUGGGGAAUAUUGCACAAUGGGGGGAACCCUGAUGCAGCGACGCCGCGUGAGCGAAGAAGGUUUUAGAAUCGUAAAGCUCUGUCCUAUGAGAAGAUAAUGACGGUAUCAUAGGAGGAAGCCCCGGCUAAAUACGUG
rnacentral:rRNA from 1 species